rnacentral:lncRNA from 1 species
UAUAUAAUGCAAUUUUUUCGCAGUCCAUAAAGGAGCCAAAAGCAUAAGGACUGAGAUUUUGGCAGUAUAGUUAAACUCUCUAUUGAUGAUUUUUGUGUGUAAUUUAAUUACAAAUGCACUCGUCAAGUUUCGGGAGAAAAUGAGUUAGAACGGAGAUUUUAUGCGAUCUUCAGUUUUCACUUAAAGUGAAUAGUAACUCGAUUUUCCAGAGAGGCCAAUGUGUAGAGUUGGCUUCCGGCGCGAAUCGGACUCCGUUCAUAGCGAUCCAAUAGCUCGUUUCGAAUGAUUCAGCUAUCCUGGAACCAAUGGCGCUGACGGAUUUUGAGUUUGACGCAUGAAUUUUGAGAAAUCUGAAAAAUACAUGUAUUGUAUGUAU